rnacentral:snRNA from 1 species
AUUGCUUCUCGGCCUUUUGGCUAAGAUCAAGUGUAGUAUCUGUUCUUAUCAGGAGGAUAUGUGGUGAUAUUAAGACACUGCUGUCUUCUUCUCCCUCACCUUCC